UGACAGACAUUACACAAUGGGCACUUCACAUUAAAAUAAUGGGGAAGGCUUUAUAUCUACAUCACUUAGAUACUCUAGUAAGAAUUUUGCAUGGCAAAAACAGAGGGUGCAGACAACACAAGCUGGGUUUCCAUUCAAAUAUUUCACAAAAAUGCAAAUUUCUGAAGUCAGUAAAGAAUUUAAGAUGUAAUAAUCUUAGCUUACCUAUAUAACAUUGCUCCUGUGGUCCUCUUGCUAAUAGCUAACAUGAUGUGAUAGGAGGUCCUCUUGCGAAAGCAUGAUGUGCUUUCAGGUGGUAAACCAUCAGGGGGCAAGCAUGAUGUUAGUUCUGUGUUCAUGUUCAAAUAUCAAUUUGUUUUCUUAUGGUAGACAUCAGAAAAGGAGGGAGAUGCAAGAGACAGAUGCUGAGAGACAUGGCUUGAGAAUGACUAUAUUAUAGGCAGGAGGUGGGGCAAGAAAGUAGGCAAUGGUACAGUAGUAAGAGGACAUAUUGUGUCCUUGUGAACAAAUUAGUGAGGGAAACAAAAAAACUUGGGGGGCUCCUGGGUUUUUAAAUCAUCAUAAGACAUCACCUUCCAAUCAAGAAGAAAAACUUAAAUGCAUCCAAUAAACUUCGUGGAACUAUAACUGAUGUGGUCAGUAGAACUUUUUUUCCAUUAACUUUCUGCCAUGGUCAUGAAAGCACACUGUAAGCAUUACUAGCUUGAGUGAGCAAACAUCUAAAUGGCUGUGACAUCUAUCAACCCGAUUUCAGGGGUAUCCACAUAUUUGUCUCAUUUUUCAAACACAUACAAAAAAGAACAAUAACUAUGCAGAAAAGUGAACUCAAAGAUGAGUCAGUUUCACAUCAUUCAUCAACUGACAUCAAACACAAGAUCUGCAAUAUGCUCAGGAACCAAGCCUAUGCACACCAAAAAGAGCAUAAAGGACCACGGUACAAUCUAUUUACAUAUUUCUGCACAAUAACUUGAAAUUAAAUUGUUUUUUUAAUUUGCCAGAAAAAAAGCAAAAACAAAUCUUAUUUUUUGUGUUUAACAAUAUACAAUAAACCUCACAAUUCAAGUUGUGAAACCCCCAAUUUUAUUAUCUGAAGAACUACGUGAUAAUUCCAUAAUUUUCUUAAAUGCAUAUAUAUUGAUAAAUAGGUAAGAGGCCAGAGAUGUUCAGGUACAGCGCUGUUUAAUAGGAACGGAUAGCAGGAGGAAUGGCAGCACAGUCUUCAGCAUUCAGAGA